UACGUAGGGUGCGAGCGUUGUCCGGAAUUAUUGGGCGUAAAGAGCUCGUAGGCGGUUUGUCGCGUCUGCUGUGAAAACGCGGGGCUCAACUCCGCGCCUGCAGUGGGUACGGGCAGACUAGAGUGCAGUAGGGGAGACUGGAAUUCCUGGUGUAGCGGUGGAAUGCGCAGAUAUCAGGAGGAACACCGGUGGCGAAGGCGGGUCUCUGGGCCGAUACUGACGCUGAGGAGCGAAAGCGUGGGGAGCGAACAGG
rnacentral:rRNA from 1 species